UGGUUGUGGAAGGAGAGGUCUUUAAUAGUUGUGAACUGCUUUGAAAUCAUUAGUCAAAUUGCAUUUUCUAUUCAGAAAAUACUAUGCUAACUGAAGAAGUGGGAAGGAAAAGGAAUGUGCCUCUUUAUUCUAACUCACCAAUUCAGAAUUUGCCUCUCCACUUAAGGAAUAUUUAGACUUACAUUGGUGUUCUCUGAGCCAGACACCCUCAGCUGGCAUCUUACUCAAGUGAACAAAUAGUAAUUGCUUAGAAAGGCUUGAAAUUUCCUUCACUUUAAGGCAAAGAUUUCCAGUAUAAAAAUAA
rnacentral:lncRNA from 1 species